CGUGGGCAACCUGCCUGUAAGACUGGGAUAACUCCGGGAAACCGGAGCUAAUACCGGAUACUAUGUCAAACCGCAUGGUUUGACAUUCAAAGACGGUUUCGGCUGUCACUUACAGAUGGGCCCGCGGCGCAUUAGCUAGUUGGUGAGGUAACGGCUCACCAAGGCGACGAUGCGUAGCCGACCUGAGAGGGUGAUCGGCCACACUGGGACUGAGACACGGCCCAGACUCCUACGGGAGGCAGCAGUAGGGAAUCUUCCGCAAUGGACGAAAGUCUGACGGAGCAACGCCGCGUGAGUGAUGAAGGUUUUCGGAUCGUAAAACUCUGUUGUCAGGGAAGAACAAGUGCCGGAGUAACUGCCGGCGCCUUGACGGUACCUGACCAGAAAGCCACGGCUAACUACGUGCCAGCAGCCGCGGUAAUACGUAGGUGGCAAGCGUUGUCCGGAAUUAUUGGGCGUAAAGCGCGCGCAGGCGGUUUCUUAAGUCUGAUGUGAAAGCCCCCGGCUCAACCGGGGAGGGUCAUUGGAAACUGGGAAACUUGAGUGCAGAAGAGGAGAGUGGAAUUCCACGUGUAGCGGUGAAAUGCGUAGAGAUGUGGAGGAACACCAGUGGCGAAGGCGACUCUCUGGUCUGUAACUGACGCUGAGGCGCGAAAGCGUGGGGAGCGAACAGGAUUAGAUACCCUGGUAGUCCACGCCGUAAACGAUGAGUGCUAAGUGUUAGAGGGUUUCCGCCCUUUAGUGCUGCAGCUAACGCAUUAAGCACUCCGCCUGGGGAGUACGGUCGCAAGACUGAAACUCAAAGGAAUUGACGGGGGCCCGCACAAGCGGUGGAGCAUGUGGUUUAAUUCGAAGCAACGCGAAGAACCUUACCAGGUCUUGACAUCCUUUGCCACUUCUAGAGAUAGAAGGUUCCCCUUCGGGGGACAAAGUGACAGGUGGUGCAUGGUUGUCGUCAGCUCGUGUCGUGAGAUGUUGGGUUAAGUCCCGCAACGAGCGCAACCCUUGAUCUUAGUUGCCAGCAUUCAGUUGGGCACUCUAAGGUGACUGCCGGUGACAAACCGGAGGAAGGUGGGGAUGACGUCAAAUCAUCA
rnacentral:rRNA from 1 species